rnacentral:lncRNA from 1 species
ACUUGACUUAAGAGAAAACCAGCGUUUUGACCCGUCAUAUACUUCUACUACCUGAUUUAGCUCUAGGAGCCGUGGUUUGAUUGUAUCACCGCUGUUUCAGCGCGGUGGAUAUCCGAGGUAGUUUAGAAUGCAUUUACGCUCGUGCUGGGACGCCGAGCUUAUUUUUACAGUAGAGUCUAGGCUGUUUCGGGUUGUCAGGUGACGUUGGGGUGGAUGGUGGA